UCAUGUUCGCUGUCGUGUUCUGUUUUGAGGCAGGAAAAAAAAUACACACACAUACACACACACACAACUUCGGACGGUAGCUUGUUAGCGUUAACAAACCCGUAUAGAUAUUACACGAUAAAAGUGUCACUGUUUAUAACCGUUUUAAAUAGCCUAGUGUUCUUGUUUGAAUACUAGGAGAUGUAGCCGUUAUUCCGUUUACGUUAACGUUAACUCGCUCGGGGACCGAAUGUCGCUUCCCGCAGCCUGGCUGGGACGGUAGCGGAGGGAUUAGCUUACACAAGCGGGCUAUCUUACUCUCUAGCUAUGCUGAGACACGCUCAGGUCCACUGGUAGCUUAGCACAAACAUUAGCUCCUCUGCGAUUAGCAUUAGCUCCUCUGCAUUAGCUCCUCUGAGCUUAGCAUUAUUCACGAUAUCUGAACGACUUUACGGCGUUUGUUGUCUCUGGAUAUUCACACUCUAGCUGGAUAUUUUAUUAUAGCGUGCUAGUGCUGUAAGUCCUAUACAUUCUAAGCUAGCGGGAAUUUACUGCACCACCCUUAACACGUUUCUGGUAUCUUGCCGGCAGGAUUUGGAAAGCUGACUGAGGGCUAUGUCUUCGGCAGCCACCGCACCCCCAUCCGUAGACAAGGUGGAUGGCUUCUCAAGGAAGUCAGUCCGGAAAGCUAGGCAGAGGCGAUCACAGAGCUCAUCUCAGUUCAGAUCUCAGGACAAACCCAUUGAGCUAGUGCAGUUGCCGCUACUGAAAGAUGUGUCUGCCCAAGAGCAGCCAGAGUUGUUUCUAAAGAAGGUGCAGCAGUGCUGCACUCUCUUUGACUUCAUGGACACACUGUCUGACCUCAAGAUGAAGGAGUAUAAGCGCUCUACUUUGAAUGAGCUGGUGGACUAUGCCACAGUUAGUCGAGGUUACCUCACUGAACAGACUUAUCCAGAGGUUGUCAAAAUGGUGUCCUGUAACAUAUUACGGACACUCCCUCCCAGUGACAGUAAUGAGUUUGACCCAGAGGAGGAUGAGCCAACAUUGGAAGCCUCAUGGCCUCACUUGCAGCUCAUCUACGAGUUCUUCAUUCGCUUCUUGGAGAGUCAGGAAUUUCAGCCCAGCAUUGCCAAAAAAUACAUUGACCAGAAAUUUGUACUACAGCUUCUGGAGCUGUUUGACAGUGAGGACCCUCGUGAGAGGGACUGCCUGAAGACUGUCCUGCACAGAAUUUAUGGCAAGUUCCUCGGUCUCAGGGCCUUCAUCCGCAAACAGAUCAACAACAUUUUUCUAGGGUUUGUGUAUGAAACAGAGCACUUCAAUGGAGUGGCUGAACUGUUGGAGAUCUUAGGAAGUAUCAUCAAUGGUUUUGCACUUCCUCUGAAAGCUGAACAUAAGCAGUUCCUGGUAAAAGUUUUACUGCCUCUGCAUUCAGCAAGAAGUCUGUCCCUCUUUCAUGCACAGGUAUUCUGGGCCCUGUGCCUGCUUUGGCUCUUAUACACUGGCCUAUUGUAUUGUGCAAUUCCUAGAGAAAGAUCCCACGCUAACAGAACCUGUCAUAAGAGGCUUGUUAAAGUUCUGGCCGAAAACCUGCAGUCAGAAAGAGGUUAUGUUCCUCGGUGAGCUGGAGGAGAUCCUCGAUGUGAUUGAGCCAACACAGUUUGUCAAGGUCCAGGAUCCUUUGUUCAAGCAGAUUUCCAGAUGUGUUUCCAGUCCUCACUUUCAGGUGGCUGAGCGAGCCCUGUAUUACUGGAACAAUGAAUACAUCAUGAGUCUGAUAGAAGAGAACUCCAGUGUCAUCCUGCCCAUUAUGUUUGCCAGUCUCUACAGGAUCUCCAAAGAGCACUGGAACCCAGCGAUAUCUGCUUUAAUCUACAAUGUGCUAAAAGCAUUCAUGGAGAUGAACAGCGCGCUGUUUGAUGAACUUGCUGCGACUUACAAAUCAGAACGUCAGAGGGAAAAGAAGAAGGAGAAAGAGCGGGAGGACUUGUGGCGGAAGCUAGAAGAGCUGGAGUUGAGGCGAGGAAUUCAGAACAGUGACAGCAUCAUUCCCACCUAAACAUGGAUAUAGCUCCAUCCCCGCAUCAAGCUCCAACCAAUGUUCUGCCAUAGGGACGUCUCAUGUUCACACUCCUUGUGCAACGUACUUUACUGUACACUCCUGCAUUUGUUUAUCCAUUUUCCCCCACCAGCACUGUAAAAAUCUUUUCCACUCCGUUUCCUUUGACAAUGAUGCUAUACAAAAAAAAAAGGACAAGUUGUGCUUAUCUUUGACAGGGACUGGGGUGGGAGGGGGAGGAAGACUUUAUAUUACACUCCUUGCCAUUUAAAAUAAACAAAUGCAUUAAGGCAUAUAUCCUCAGAACCCUUUGCCUGAGAACAAUUUUUUUUCCCCUUUCCGUCAAGAAAUGGCUCUCUAGAGUGCGGUUCCAAAGACUUCCCAUAAUAAGUUUCUUUGUCCCAUGUUUCUUAUUUGAAAAAUUAAAAAAAAAAAACACCCUCACGUUUUUAUGACCAUGUCCUGUAAAGGUGUGACUACUGUACUAGUCUUGAAAUGUCUCACACCUCACAAAGAUGUCAUAGCAAAGUCAGUCGACAAGAAAUUUCCAUAAUCACCUGCAUUAUUUUUCCAGGCUAUUUUUAAAAUGCGAUCUUCACAGUUCUUUGGUGUACGGACAGGAGUUGGUCUGGCACUGGUACCAUCAAUGAGAAGUAAGACACAGUGCUUGCUGUCAUCUUAGUGAAGUCGAGAACCUGUCGAGAAUUCUAUUCUGGUGGUUCACUGCCUCGGAAGAAUUUACAAAGCAAAAGAUUUUCUGACACCAUUGAAGACUAAACUUUCUUGUAAAGCAGUGUUCAGAAUUUGUUUCAUUCAGUGUAUUGAAAAGUCGAUUUGUGUCAACAUCUUAACCUGGACUCUAUAGGCGUAGGCAGCGCUGACGUCUCCUCUUUGGACUUUGGUUGGAUGCUCUUAAAAUAAUUUGGUUUAAGCUAGAUUGAUUUUAAUGGAGUGUUUGGAAUGAUAGCCUGCAUAUGUGGUGUAUUUCUGAAUGCUGAUCCAGUCUUAUUCCUCAACAGAAAUGCCAUCCACUAUAUAGUGGGUUAGGACUAAAGCACUUGGAGUUCGAGAGUUUGUUGUGUUCACAGAACUCAAUAUCCUUGUUUUUAUUUUAUUCUGUUUUAUUUCAAAUUAAAAUCAUGGGUGUGGAUUUUACAUGUAAGGAAGAUGUAUUUUUUAUUGCUCUGUGGGCCUCUGUCCCUUUCAUCAAUCUUGUGUGAUUUAUUUUUCUUUGGAUGGCCCUGUAAUGUUUGUUAAAACUUAAAGGAAAGGGUUUGAUGAACAGAAUAAAUCUUAAUUAUUUUAAAAAAUACAGAGACAUUAAAUAAACCUGUUUUUGUGAUAAA